UAAUACAUAAGUAACCUGCCCUAGACAGGGGGAUAACUAUUGGAAACGAUAGCUAAGACCGCAUAGGUACGGACACUGCAUGGUGACCGUAUUAAAAGUGCCUCAAAGCACUGGUAGAGGAUGGACUCAUGGCGCAUUAGCUGGUUGGCGGGGUAACGGCCCACCAAGGCGACGAUGCGUAGCCGACCUGAGAGGGUGACCGGCCACACUGGGACUGAGACACGGCCCAG
rnacentral:rRNA from 1 species